AUUGAACGCUGGCGGCAUGCCUUACACAUGCAAGUCGAACGGCAGCAUGGGUGCUUGCACCUGAUGGCGAGUGGCGAACGGGUGAGUAAUGCAUCGGAACGUACCCGGAAGUGGGGGAUAACGUAGCGAAAGUUACGCUAAUACCGCAUAUUCUGUGAGCAGGAAAGAGGGGGAUCGCAAGACCUCUCGCUUUCGGAGCGGCCGAUGUCGGAUUAGCUAGUUGGAGGGGUAAAGGCCCACCAAGGCAACGAUCCGUAGCGGGUCUGAGAGGAUGAUCCGCCACACAGGGACUGAGACACGGCCCAGACUCCUACGGGAGGCAGCAGUGGGGAAUUUUGGACAAUGGGCGCAAGCCUGAUCCAGCCAUGCCGCGUGAGUGAAGAAGGCCUUCGGGUUGUAAAGCUCUUUCGGCUGGGAAGAAAUCGCAUCUCCUAAUACGGGGUGUGGAUGACGGUACCAGCAUAAGAAGCACCGGCUAACUACGUGCCAGCCGCCGCAGUAAAAC
rnacentral:rRNA from 1 species